CUCCAGGCCACCCUGGGAGGCCCAGGUUCCGGGAGGUAUGAUCAGUGUGUCCACACCAGACUGCAGGCAGAGCAGAGUUGAGGGACCAAGAAGGGUUGGGACAGGUGGGCAGGACCCCAGAACCACUCACAGCCCCGCUGGGUGGAAGCAAAUGGCCCCUCCUCACCCCUGCCCACCUUCUUGGCAGUCUGCCCCCAGGACUGGUCAGACAAGUUCUCGUGGCUGGCCUGGGUGUGGUCACCCUCUGGUGGGGGCCAGCAACGGGGCAAGGCGGGGAGCCUGGCACGCUAAGUCCUGGCACAGGGUCAGGGCAGUGACCCAUCUGUCCCACGCCUGGAGACCUCUGCAUGCCACGCGCCUGCCCUGCCCUGCUGUGGAGCUGGUCACCAUGCGUCAGGGAAGGGCUGGCAUGGCGUGAGGACCCGUCUGUCCUGCGUGGCCAGCUCGGCUGCCACCUCCUCGCCUUGUCUCUGCCCUGCCCGGAACACCAGGGCGCCCCAAGCUGGCCUCAAUGCUCACUCCCUGCCUGGCAUCCUGGCUUACAGUGGUGAGGCAGUACCUGCGCAGAGCAGCCUAGCGCCUGGUGCUCAGCCCCAGAGAGGCCCCCACCCUGCUCAGCAGACCAGGAGACGGCCCAGCACCCACGGCCCCAGCCUCCUCCUGCCUCAUCCUCAAGGCCUGGUCCAGGCCACCUCCUCCCGGAAGCCCAGGCCCCGAGGCAGGACAGGAGGAGCCUGCAGCAAAGAAGAAUUGCUGGGAGGAAGAUCACCCUGCUUUAUUGCCUGGGCCUUAAGCCUGCAGGGGUGGGCAGAGAAGACAGACAUGAACUCAGUGGAGUGGGAUGGCUGCCCACGAGCCUGCGGCCCAGGAAAGCCCCCACCAGGAGCAGCGUGCCUCGUCCAAGCUCAGCAUCCCCAAGGCAUCAGUGCCGGGGUGCCAUCACCUCCAAAUGUGUGUGCAAGGCUAGUGUCAUGGGUGUGAGCCAAGUGUGAGCAAGCAGCAAGGGCCGGUGUCUCCCAGCUGCCACCCCUGCCAGGGAUCCUCCCCCUCCCCUGGUGGCAUUGGUCCUGGGAUGGAGCUGGGAAUGGGGUCGGGGAGGCUGAGAGAUGGGAGAGAAGGGGGCUGACCCUGCAGUGCCCCUGAGUUCAGGGCAGUCCCGGCGGCCAAGGGCUUACCUGUGGUGGCAACACGGCAGUCUGUCCUCUCGGUCUUCUGAGCUCUAGGUCCCAGUGCCUGAGUUGAG
rnacentral:lncRNA from 1 species